UCAAAUCAACCCCUCUAUUGCUUCUUUCGUAGUUUUUGUCCUCUGUACAUUUUAAUUUUGUUGUCUUUAGGGUUUUCCGAAUUUGUGUUCCCUUCAAUCUCCUGUCUGUCGCUUCCAGAUCCGCUCCAACACACACUAGCCGUUGCUUUCCCGCCACUUUCAUAACCUUGGGAUCCGUUUCCAAUUUCAAACAAAAAAAAAAAAUCAAACCUUUUUUGAUGGCGAUACCUCUUGGGAUAUAUCAUUGGACGUCGCAAAGGUGGGCUUGAUGGCAACUUGCUCUCUCCCACUCGGUUAAGGCCACUCGUCGGCAUCAACAUUCGUUUCUCUGCUUUCGUUUCUCUUCAUUUGUGUACAUUAGCUUAUCUAUAUAAGCUUCUCUGAAUGAUUUCUUGUUUCUGCAAAUUUUGUUGUGUGUUUUCAGAAAGGUCAGUUAGGACAUGGAGAUAUGAUCCAACGUGACAGGCCAACGGUUGUCUCAGGACUCUCUACUCUAAGCACAAGAUUGUGAAAGCAGGAGCAGGGAGGAACCCACACGGUUGUGGUUAGCGAAGAAGGCCGGUCCUUUGCUUUUGGGUGGAAUAAGCAUGGGCAGUUGUGUUUAGGCACCGCCAAAAACGGCUUUGUUUCUGCAGAAGUUGAAUCUUCGCCUCUUCCAUGUGUUGUGUCUGAUCAGGUCACAGACAUUGCCUGUGGGGCUGAGUUUACAGUGUGGCUGAAGGAGCCUCUAUACUAACUGCUGGACUCCCACAGUAUGGUCAACUUGGUCAUGGAACUGAUAAUGAGUUCAAUAUGAAGGAUAGCUCGGUUAAACUCGCCUACGAAGCUCAGCCACGUCCUAAAGCCAUGGCCUCUCUUGCAGGUGAAACAAUUGUCAAAGUUGCAUGUGGAGCAAAUCACUCAGUGGCCGUCGAUAAGAAUGGGUUUGUUUACACAUGGGGCUUUGGUGGAUAUGGAAGCAAGGCUUGGGGACAUAGGCAGCAUCCUCGCCGCAUUGAUGUGUUUCAGAGACAUAAAGUUUUACCUCCUAAUGCUAUUGUCUCUGCUGGCUCUGCAAACUCUGCGUGUACUGCUGGUGGAGGACAGUUAUAUAUGUGGGGUAAGAUCAAGAACAAUGGUGAUGAUUGGAUGUACCCUAAACCUAUGAUGGAUCUAAGUGGUUGGAACUUGCGGUGGAUGGAUUCAGGAAGCAUGCAUCAUUUUGUUGGUGCGGAUAGUUCAUGCAUAAGCUGGGGUCAUGCUCAGUAUGGAGAGCUUGGUUAUGGCCCCAACGGUCAAAAGCAAUGCCACUUUAUAUAACUUAACUUUAGUUUAAAACACCACAUUUAUACUACCAUUGAAAACCAUGCUUGUUAUUUCUCGUUUCAGAUCCUCUGCAGCGCCUAAAAAGGUGGAUUUACUCUGGGAAUGCAUGCAAUGGGUGUGGCAUGCGGUUUAUCCCAUUCUAUGGUAAUAGUUAACAGAACAGAUAUAACUGAUCGUCUUGAGCAGGCAAGUUAAGAAAAAGCCAAUUCUUGUUUGGUUGAUCCCUCCAAGGAAAGCUCAAGGUCGCACGGCUCUCCGGAUAGCUAAUAGAUAUUCCUGUCACACUGCCAAAAGAAGUGCUUCUAAAAAGAGGAAAGCGUCAAAAGCUUCAUCUGAUUCUGAACAAGACGGUGAUGAAGAAAACAACGACAAGGAGAAGGAAGCUAAAGGUAGUGACAGCGACUACAGUGAUGAUGAUGGAGAAGAAGAAGCCAAUGGCAAGAAACAGAGCACUCGUAGCAGAGGACGUGGCCGUGGGGGACGAGGCCGCGGCGGCCGCACUGGUAAUAGAAAAGCUUCGCCGGUUAAGACCAGUGGAAGAAGAGGAAGACCACGUAAGUCUUAAAAACUACUCUCGACUCCGAAUUUUUUGAUGUUUUUAACAGUUUUUCUCUCGUUCUUGACACGAUGAGAGGCUAAGAAACACUUUUUUAAUUGCUGUAUCAAACAUUUGUUUAAGCUUAUCGGCUUCUGUAUUCUGAUGUAAACCACAUCGAAUGAUUUAUUCAUAGUCAAAAACAUUUUCGAUUUGUAACAAUUUUCU